UUGGAUUUUGGACCCAUUAUGCAAUUAAGACAACAGAUGUGCAAGGAUCUCUUUAAUGCAACAGACAGAACACAGACAUGCAGUAACUGCCUGAACCCAGUGAGCACUGCAAACAAGGUUUGGGGAUCACCAAAGAAAUGGCAGAAAAAACAAAACAGACCCUCCACAAGAUGAAGGAAAAUGCCAACUCUACAUAUGAUGUUAAAGAGACCCUAUGCAACUUUCUGCAGGAGACGAUCGCUCUUUGUUUACAUCUGGAAGUCUGAGACGAAG